GAUGAAGAACGUAGCGAAAUGUGAUACGUAGUGUGAAUUGCAGAAUUCAGUGAAUCAUCGAAUCUUUGAACGCACAUUGCACCUCUCGGUAUUCCGGGAGGUAUGCCUGUUCGAGCGUCAUUUGUACCCUCAAGCUCUGCUUGGUGUUGGGUGUUUGUUCCGCCUCUGUGUGUGAACUCGCCUCAAAACAAUUGGCAGCCGGCGUACUUGUUUCGGAGCGCAGCACAUUUUGCGAUCCAGAUCAACGUACAGCGGCAUCCAAGAAGCCUUAUUUAACGCUCUUGACCUCGGAUCAGGGAGGGAUACCCGCUGAACUUAAGCAUAUCAAUAAGCGGAGGA
rnacentral:misc_RNA from 1 species